CACGUAGGGUGCGAGCGUUGUCCGGAAUUAUUGGGCGUAAAGAGCGUGUAGGCGGUCCGGUAAGUCAGCUGUGAAAGUCAAGGGCUCAACCCUUGAAUGCCGGUUGAUACUGUCGGGCUAGAGUCCGGAAGAGGCGAGUGGAAUUCCCGGUGUAGCGGUGAAAUGCGCAGAUAUCGGGAGGAACACCAAUGGCGAAGGCAGCUCGCUGGGACGGUACUAACGCUGAGACGCGAAAGCGUGGGGAGCAAACAGG
rnacentral:rRNA from 1 species